GUGCUUGCUUUGGCAGCACAUGUACUAAAAUUGGAAUAAUUCAGAGAAGAUUAGAACGGCCCCUGUGCAAGGAUGGCACGCAGAUUUGUGAAGUGUUCCAUGUUUUU